UAAGAAAGUGACAGAACGGUCAUGUGGUUGGCUUGAAACCAAUUUAUGGGGGUUCAACUCCUCCCUUUCUCG
rnacentral:tRNA from 2 species